AUGUUUUUGCCAAAUGGAGCUAAGUUCUUCACGGUUGGCCUGACUGCUGUGACCUGGGCCAUUUGGCUGGCUCGUAAUAGAGCUACCUUUGAGAAGAAGUUGAUUAAAUCUCCUUUUGAGAUUGUGUUUUUGGCAUGUUCUUUUCUCUUGUAUUGGGCAGGACUUCAGAAAAAGGAAGACACAGAGGAGUUACGCCAAGGUGCAGAGAUGAUUCGCUCAAGCACGACCAGGCUGAUGGCGAUGUGUGAGAAGACCAGGCGUGCGAUGGAUGAUGAUGGAGAGGUGUUGACUUGGUGA
rnacentral:rRNA from 1 species